AGAGGGAGGGAGAGGAUCCCAAGCAGGUUCCACACUGUCAGUGCAGAGUCAGAUGGGGGGCUUGAAUCCACGAACCAUGAGAUCAUGACCUGAGCUGAAAUCAAGAGUCGGACGAUUAACCGACUGAGCCAUUCAGGCACCCCCAGGUUGAAAGGGAUCUCAAGGGUUGUCCCAGCCACCUAUCUCUAUCCUCAUUUUACAGGACAGAGCACUGGAGUGCAGAGUAAGGACUAAUUUGCCCUAAUUAAUGCUCUGUUCUUUUUUUUGUUUCCUCAUUUGUCAAAUGCAAAUCAUUUCCCCUGUAUUUCAGGGGUUUUGAGGACUAAAUUCGAACUGCAAUACAUGCUUAGUAAUUUUACUGUCUUCUCUUCCUUCCCAUGCUGACCUGCUAUGUAAUGACUCUGUUCUGUUUUCUCUUGAACACUUGGUAGGACCACAGCCAUCCCGCCAAAUAUUGAGGAAGCCGGAAAAGCUAUGACGUUUUCCCCUUGCGAGGCACAAGCUUUCCCCCCAAUGCAGAUGGGAGGACUUUGGAGGUUAUAUCCGUUCAUCUAUUUAUUCAGCAAAUUCAGAGUCAGUCAUUGUUAUAAGCAUUAAGGGAUACAAGAGUAAUAAAAGAUUUACUAAGAGAGACAGAUCUUAAUCAAAUCAUUACUCUCGUAGUUAAUUAAAGUUUUCAUAAAUGAUACAAAAGGCAGACAGGUGGCUGUAAGAGUGUGUAACAGGAGGACUUAGCAUAGCCUGGGAUCGGGGGUAGUCAGGGAAGGCUUCCCUGAGGAGGAAGUAUUUCCCUCAGAUAUGAAGGAUGAUCAGGUAUCUGUCCAACAACGAGUGGGACUAGGGGUGAGGGCUGGAGCGAGCAGCUCAGGAAGUGAGAGCGACGAGUGCAGAGGCCCUGGGGAGAGGAGUUACCUGCCAGAUUUGAGGAACCAGAUCGGACUAGAGAGAAGUCUGGUUUUGUGCUUGAAUACUUAUUUGUUUUUGUUUAGCUCGGAGGAAGACGAAGAUCAUCAGCCCCAGAGCCCUGGGGAGGAAGGUCCGUUGGAGGGGGUAGUCAGUGAGUCAACCCACUGAUCCUGACUCUGAUCCUGACCCAUAAUUCAGACCAGGGUAGGAGCUGCCACAGCUCCAGAGGAAUGGGUGAGACAGUCCUAGGAAGAGAUCUCUGAACCCCUGAGACUGAGCAAGGCUGGUCCACAGAGCAGUCCCCACCAGUAGACCCUUAUUCAAACACCCCUCUCCCCCAAUCUUGCCUCACCACUGCCUUUGCUACAGAAAGAAAUGUGUUCCUAUUUCAUCAAGGACCCAUCUUCCAGAACCAACUUGAAAUCUAGAAGACCGCAUAGCUCCCAGUGUUUUGGGGUUUCAUGUCUGUAUUAAUCCUUAUCCCAGGGACACUGUAUAUAGCACUUAAGAGCUUGGGUUCUAUAGUUAGACCUCAGAGGUCUGAAUCCUGACAUUGUCAUUUACUAGCUAUGUAACCUCAGGCAAGUCUCUUAACCUUUCUGUGUCCUCAUCUAUAAAAUGAAGAUGACAAUUUACUCACCUGAUAGGGUUGCUUAUAAAAAUUAAAUGAAACAAUGUAGGUAAACAUUAGGACAAUAGGUGGGAUUCCUCGAUAAAUGGAAGUUGCAUUAUUAUUAUUAAUUAUUAUCAUUAAUAUCACCAUCAGAGCAACCAUGUAAUACAUGUCCACAAUAUUCCGGAAACUGAGCUAAGUGUUUCACAUACCUUAAUUUGAAUGCCCCCACAGUUUGGCACAAUGAUCCCAAUUUUCUAAAUGAGGAAACUGAGGCUCCGAGGAAUUCAGUGACACAGCUAUUAAGUGACAAUAAAGAUUCACACUCAGGCUCUAAAAGCAGUCCACUCUCUACAUUUCUAUCCCAAGUUGGCCACUUCUCAUCAAUGUGCUGUAAAAUCCUGUUAAUUACAACUAAUGAGAAUGAGGUUCUAUACACUACCUGUUCAUUGAUUUGCAGAUUUUUAAUAUCAUUCCUUGCCCCAGGGGAACUCUCCAGGGGGCCAUCAUUACCAUACAAUUCUUUGGGGGAAACGAAACAACAGCUGGCCCUGCCAAUCACCAUGGCAACACUCCCGUAAGUACAUAGGAUCGCAUCAACAGAAAAAAUCUAUAUAUACGUAUAUGUUCUAUAUUUGCCCUUAAACGCUACGUUAUACAUUGACUCGUUGAUGACACCAUCAGGGCUCAGGUAGAGGCAUUUUCAAUCCGCUCCAAAUCUCUCCCUCUUCUAGGAUGCUUCCAAGACCCCAUCAAGCGGGCACAGGCAGGGACAGACGUUGCUAGGGAAAAGGGAUCAUUGCCAAGUUCUGGCCCACAGCAGCAUAUGCUUCACGGUGACAAUGUAAUCCUCAUGCGCCAAGCCAAGAGAUCUUGUGUGGUGACCUGGGUGUUUCUCCACGGCUCUUUGUCAGACAACAGCCAUCAAGGCUUGGAGUCUUUGACACGUUGGAAGUUCCAGAUUUCUGUAACACAGUGGGAUCAAAGCCUUGAAGCUCUUCUGUGUAUGUCACCAUCAUGAGCCAAGGAGAGACCUUCGAAAAAGACAACAGAUAGCUCCCUUUCACACGCACCAUGUUAGCACAGUACUUGGUGUCCACACGCCAUGAUCAUAAGGCCAGAAUCAUCUCGAAGAUUGAAGAUGGCAAAUUCUUUGACACACUGCCCAUCCAGAGGCAAAGUCUACGUCCCAUCCCCUUGAAUCUGAGUGGGCUCUAUUUCCACUCUGAUAGAAUAUGGCAGAAGUGACACUGUGCCGGUUCCCAAAGCCAGGCCUUAUGAAGCUGGCAGUUCCCAUCCUCUGUCAUUCGGAACACUGUCUCUGGGAGCAUCGGACUUCAAACCCUCAAGCCACCAUGCUGCUGCAGCCCGAUGUAGGUGCUCCAGCUCAGAGUUCCACCUGAGCCCAGCCUUCGGGGCAUCUCUCCAGCCAAGGCCCGUAUGUUGGGUGAAACCAUCUUCUACCCUCCAGGUCAACUCAUCGCUGGUUGAAUCCCACAAGUGACCUUACUCCACACGAUGCCAUAUGGAGCAGAAGAAUCACUCAGCUGAGCCCUGCCCGAGUUCCUAACCCACAAAAUUAUAAAUUAUAAUAAAAUGGUUGUUAUUUUAA